UACAGAGGGGGCUAGCGUUGUUCGGAAUUACUGGGCGUAAAGUGUGCGCAGGCGGCGCUGCAAGUCGAGUGUGAAAUCCCCGAGCUUAACUUGGGAAUUGCGCUCGAAACUACGGCGCUGGAGUAUGGCAGAGGAAGGUGGAAUUCCACGUGUAGCGGUGAAAUGCGUAGAGAUGUGGAGGAACACCGAUGGCGAAGGCAGCCUUCUGGGCCAAUACUGACGCUCACGCACGAAAGCGUGGGGAGCAAACAGG
rnacentral:rRNA from 1 species